rnacentral:tRNA from 1 species
GGGGAUGUGUCGGAACUGGUAGACGAGCAUGACUUAGGAUCAUGUGCCGGUAAGGCGUGGGAGUUCGAGUCUCCCCAUCCCCACCA